GUGCCAGCAGCCGCGGUAAUACCGGCAGCCCAAGUGAUGGCCGCCGUUAUUGGGCCUAAAGCGUCCGUAGCUGGCCGCACAAGUCCAUCGGGAAAUCCACUCGCCCAACGAGUGGGCGUCCGACGGAAACUGCACAGCUUGGGACCGGAAGGCUCGAAGGGUACGUUCGGGGUAGGAGUGAAAUCCCAUAAUCCCGCACGGACCACCGAUGGCGAAAGCACGUCGGGAAGACGGAUCCGACGGUGAGGGACGAAAGCCAGGGUCUCCAACCGGAUUAGAUACCCUGGUAGUCC
rnacentral:rRNA from 1 species